GGGGGUGUCUUUGGUUUCGACCGUAAGGAUUUAGACUCUAAGUUGCAUGCGGAGGUGCCGUCCUCCUGAUUCGGCAAAAAACUUAACUGGCGAAGAAAACGACAGUUUCGGUUACGCCUUAGCCGCAUAACCGCGGGAGCCGUAUUGCCCUGCUCCGAGCGAUACGACCUCCUGACGAAGAUCGGGGCUUGUUGCCUGUUAGGCGUGAUGUGCAGGCAAGACCCUUAUUACGCUAAGAAUCAGACGCUUGCAGUACUGCUACCUGAUUCCGACAACUACCUCGUACUGAUAAGCAUGUAGAGGCUUAUGGUUUACCUUGCGGGACGGGGGUUCAAUUCCCCCCAUCUCCAACC
rnacentral:tmRNA from 1 species